CCUGUGUGCAUCUCCUUCACAUUGUUUUAUUAGCUUCAGUUACUGCAGCUUCAUUUUAAAGCAGGAUGCUGGUUUUCUGUGCGUGGAUUAAUCCGCCGCUGGAAAUAGUCCCGAACACGUGAACCUACAGACGAGUUGUUUUCAUGAACCUACAGACGAGUUGUUUUCACGUGAACCUACAGACGAGUUGUUUUCACGUGAACCUACAGACGAGUUCUUUUCACGUGAACCUACAGACGAGUUGUUUUCACGUGAACCUGUCUGUACCGUUAGAGACUCAGGGGUCGACGGGCUCGAGCUGACGACAUGAACUCACACUUUGUUGGUUUGAUGAUGUAGGAGUCAUCUCAUUGGCUGAGAGCUGCUGAGCGGCUGCUCGGUGACGUGAGGCGGCCCGGCUCCAGAUCUGUGUCCCUGAUGAGUCGGACUUUCUAAACAUCGAGUAGGUUCCAUCUUUCAGGCUUUGUCGUCUCUUCGCAUCAUCGUCAUCAUCAUUAGUGGCGGGCAGGUGGGGCCACCUCUGGUUAACCCACUGCGUCACAGUGUCCCUCACAAAUAAUGAAGAGAGCUGUUGGCGCUCGGCUGUGAAAGCCAAAGCGACGGCUAGCAGCCCCAGCUCAGGUGUGACGGAGGCAGAGAGAAAUCUGUGGAGAGACACCUGAGGAGUCCAGACUGUCCAGGUGUGACGUGACAAAGACUCAGACGGAGGUGUGCACCUGCAGGUGAUCCAGAGCUGUGAAAUGAACUCUGAUCUUAUCGAUGUUCUCGGUUGGCUGAAAAGAGUUCUGCUUCCCGUCUUCAUAUUUUGAGCAAACCUCUGGUGUCAGAGGUCGGUCUGUGUUUCAGACCCCCUCGCUUCACCCCGUCCUUCUUAAGGUGGAGGAGAAACUACAGCAGCUGUGAAGGUCCAGUCCACCUUUAGUUCGUCUGGUCUGCACAUGGCGGUUCAACAUGGCGGACUCUGCAGAGGACCCGCGGCGUCUCGUUCCGUCAUGGCUCGUUCGAGAUGUCACCUGAUUGAUCUCAUGACGUCGUUGCCAUGACGACGCCCUGGCGACUGUUCGCCUCUUUCUUCCUUCGUGUCUCCGUCUUUGCCCCUCGGGGAUCUCUGCCAUGUGGCGCAGGCUCAGGGGACACACAGGUGUGUCUUCAUCUGUUCCCUGCCUGUCUUCCCUUUCUUCUUCUUCUCUGCGUACCUUUAAUUCCUUCCUCUUCCUGUCUCUCACACCUUUACACACACACACACACACACACUCUCGACCGGCCUUUUUCUUCCCACUUUCCGUCGUUUUGACAACCUUAAAGGCAGCAACCUGCUCUGCUCCGGCUGCACCUGCUGCCUCGCUAAUUGAACCGACGGAGAGGAGGAACAAACGAGAGGAGAGAGGAGAGAUGGCGGGAUGGAGGAAGAGAGAGAUGAACAGACUGUCUUGAUGAGUGUGGCGGGGGCCAACACACUUCCUGUCUCCCUCUUCUUCUUCUUUUAUCACACACACACAUUUCCAGUGCCAUCUGUAGCCCCGCACACACACACACACACACACACACACACACACACAGGGCAGAGGAUGAACUUGGAGUGAACUGUGGAUGUCCACAGUGUCCUCUGCUCGCUGUCAGCGGAGACAGAAACUUGUGCCUUUUUCUGCUUGUUUUCUCCUCUAACUCUACAAACACACACACACACACACACACACACACACGCUCGCCUUUCCUUGAACCCUCCAGCAGCUUGCGCCUCCUCUUCUGUCACUUUGGCUGUCGUCCGUUGGUGUGACCUCUGUUGUUCGCGUUGUCAGAAUCUGCCAUCAUCGCGUCUCUCAGACUGUCGUUUCUUCUCUGGUUAUUUAUUCCUCUUUUUUUUUUCUUC